rnacentral:ncRNA from 1 species
GAGAGCCGUAUGAUGGGAAACUAUCACGUACGGUUCGGAGGGCACAAAACGAAGGUGAGUGACCCCUAU